rnacentral:rRNA from 1 species
AUUGAACGCUGGCGGCAUGCCUUACACAUGGCAAGUCGAACGGCAGCACGGGAGCAAUCCUGGUGGCGAGUGGCGAACGGGUGAGUAAUAUAUCGGAACGUGCCCAGUCGUGGGGGAUAACGUAGCGAAAGCUACGCUAAUACCGCAUACGAUCUAUGGAUGAAAGCGGGGGAUCGCAAGACCUCGCGCGAUUGGAGCGGCCGAUAUCAGAUUAGGUAGUUGGUGAGGUAAAGGCUCACCAAGCCGACGAUCUGUAGCUGGUCUGAGAGGACGACCAGCCACACUGGGACUGAGACACGGCCCAGACUCCUACGGGAGGCAGCAGUGGGGAAUUUUGGACAAUGGGCGCAAGCCUGAUCCAGCAAUGCCGCGUGCAGGAUGAAGGCCUUCGGGUUGUAAACUGCUUUUGUACGGAACGAAACGGUGAGCUCUAAUACAGUUUGCUAAUGACGGUACCGUAAGAAUAAGCACCGGCUAACUACGUG